rnacentral:ncRNA from 1 species
GUAGAUAGAGGUUGCAUUUUUUAUGAGUAAGGUGAAGGAUGUAUCAGGGACAGAGGAAUUCAUCUGAAAGGGGAAAAUGCCGAAAGGGUAAGGAUCCUGAGGUCUUAUUCUUGGGCAUGGCGUGAAAAACGUCAUGACUGUCAUCGCAGGAUGGAGAGCUAUCUGA